rfam:Ordospora colligata OC4 contig_09, whole genome shotgun sequence.
UCCUUGUUGGUCCAGUGGUUAGGAUAGCUGCCUCUCACGCAGCAGGCUCGGGUUCGAUUCCCGGACAGGGAA